rnacentral:rRNA from 1 species
AUUUGAGAGUUUGAUCCUGGCUCAGGAUGAACGCUGGCGGCGUGGAUAAGGCAUGCAAGUCAAAUGUGUGUCUCACUAUGUUCGACACCCAUAGGUGGCGAGCAGAGCGAGGCAUACAUGGCAAACGGGUUAGUAAUGCAUAGGAACGUACCUUCAAGUCGUGAAUAAUCCAGAGAAAUCCGGAAUAAUACACGAUGUGCUCUAUGGAGUAAAGAUUUACCCACACACCAAUUUUUUCAAUACUAUUCUUGAGAUAAUAAUUAUAUUAGCAAGAAACUUGUGGAGAAAUUGGUGUGCGGGUUUAUCGCUUGAAGAGCGGCCUGUGUCCUAUCAGCUUGUUGGUAAGGUAAUGGCUUACCAAGGCAAUGACGGGUAGGGGGCGUGAGAGCGCGGUCCCCAACAUUGGAACUGAUACACUGUCCAAACUCCUACGGGAGGCUGCAGUCGAGAAUAUUCGGCAAUGGGCGAAAGCCUGACCGAGCGACGCCGCGUGCAGGAUGAAGGCCUUCGGGUUGUAAACUGCUUUUCUAUGGGAACAAAUUAUUGAGUGUACCGUAGGAAUAAGAGGUUACUAACUCUGUGCCAGCAGUAGCGGUAAUACAGAGACCUCAAGCGUUAUCCGGAUUUAUUGGGCGUAAAGAGCGGGUAGGUGGAUAUGCUAGUCAGAUGUCAAAUUUUCGGGCUCAACCCGAAAACUGCAUUUGAAACGGCAUAUCUAGAGAAAGUGAGAGACCAGUGGAACUCAUGGUGUAGUAGUGAAAUGCGUUGAUAUCAUGAGGAACACCAAAGGCGAAGGCAUCUGGUUGGCACUUUUCUGACACUGAGCCGCGAAAGCGUGGGUAGCGAAUGGGAUUAGAUACCCCAGUAGUCCACGCCGUAAACGUUGCAUACUAGGUAUUAAGAGAAUCGACCCUUUUAGUGUCGUAGCUAACGCGUUAAGUAUGCCGCCUGGGAAGUACGGCCGCAAGGCUAAAACUCAAAGGAAUAGACGGGGAUCCGCACAAGUGGUGGAGCAUGUGGUUCAAUUCGACAAUAAGCGAGGAACCUCACCAAGAUUUGAAAUCCAGCUGCAUAUCUUAGAAAUAAGAUAGCCUUCGAGGGUGCUGGACAGGUGCUGCAUGGUCGUCGUCAGCUCGUGCCGUAAGGUGUUCCCUUAAGUGGGGAAACGAGCGCAACCCCUGUCGUGUGUUA